rnacentral:tRNA from 1 species
UACAUUUUAGUAUAUUGACGUACAAUAAUUUUUGAAGUUUUAAGAGAUAAUUUAAUUUUAUCAAAUGUAA